rnacentral:rRNA from 1 species
AUAGCAAUAGCUACUUGCAUCAUUAGUAAAUAUGAUGCAAGAUCGACUAUGUCGAAUAAAAUUCUAGGUAGAAUUAUGAUAAUGACAUUGUCUGCCUAUGUGUCUUGACCAAAUUACGUGCCAGCAGUCGCGGUAAUACGUAGAAGACUAGUGUUAUUCAUGUUUAAUCGGUUUAAAGGGUACCUAGACGGUAAAUCAAGCCUAAAAGGAAAUAAAUGAAGGGACUAAUUUACUAGAGUUACUUAUGAGGGGGUAUUAAAGUACUGCUGGUGUAGAGAUGAAAUUCUGUCAUACCUCUUUUCAAUAGAAAAACAAUGGCACAGGUAUAGGCGAAAGCAUCCCCUUAUGUGAUAACUGACGUUGAGGGACGAAGGCUUUGUGUAGCGAACAGGAUUAGAUACCCCAGUAGUCAAAGCAGAAAAUGAUGAAUGUCAUAGAUUAGAUAUAUAAAUUUAUUCUAUAAAUGAAAGUGUAAGCAUUCCACCUCAAGAGUAAUUUGGCAACAUUGGAACUGAAAUCAUUAGACCGUUUCUGAAACCAGUAGUGAAGUAUGUUGUUUAAUUUGAUGAUCCGCAAAAAACCUUACCACAAUUUGAAUAUUUAUAUCUUUUAUUGUUUUUCUUUUUAACUUUCUUCUGAUUUUCUACUUAAAAGAAAACAAUAACAAGAAAAAAGAGGCAAUAAGAUAUAUUUACAAGCGUUGCACGGCUGUCUUCAGUUAAUGUCGCGAGACUAUGGUUAGUUCCAUUAAAUUAACGUAAACCCUUACUUUAUUUUUAUAUAGAGUAGUUCCCCGCUAUAUUGGAUAUGAUAACAGGGACUAAGACAAGUCAUCAUGGCCUAAAUAUUGU